rnacentral:rRNA from 1 species
ACGAACGCUGGCGGCGUGCUUAACACAUGCCAGUCGAACGCUGAAGCUUGGUGCUUGCACUGGGUGGAUGAGUGGCGAACGGGUGAGUAAUACGUGAGUAACCUGCCCUUGACUCUGGGAUAAGCCUGGGAAACUGGGUCUAAUACUGGAUAUGACAUGCCACUGCAUGGUGGUGUGUGGAAAGGGUUUUACUGGUUUUGGAUGGGCUCACGGCCUAUCAGCUUGUUGGUGGGGUAAUGGCCUACCAAGGCGACGACGGGUAGCCGGCCUGAGAGGGUGACCGGCCACACUGGGACUGAGACACGGCCCAGACUCCUACGGGAGGCAGCAGUGGGGAAUAUUGCACAAUGGGCGGAAGCCUGAUGCAGCGACGCCGCGUGAGGGAUGACGGCCUUCGGGUUGUAAACCUCUUUCAGCACGGAAGAAGCGAGAGUGACGGUACGUGCAGAAGAAGCGCCGGCUAACUACGUG